AAUGAUAGGAUACAGAUUGGCUUUUUGUCCAGUAAACAUGAGGAAGGGAGGGAUUGUAUGAGAGUGAGUGUGUAUGUUUCUCCAUGUCCCAAAUAAUACAUACCCAUUAUUUUAUGGUACGAGGCUAGGGCUUAAUGAGUUUAUGCUAGAAAUUGAAGUAUAAGACUAAACCUGAACAUUUUAAACAAGUUGGCUUUCAUGGCUCUUUCAUGGCUUUUUCAAGUACCACCAUGUUGAUAUUAGCCUUAGGUGGCAAGUGAUUCUUAACAUCAUAUGGAGUACAGUGUUUGUACCACUAGCAUUCUUAUGUCUGUACUUGAAUGUAUAGUUAGCAUUGAAAUAAAUAUGUUCAUUCUUAUUUCAUCCAGGUCUAAUCAUCUGAUUUCAAAUGCCAGAGCUUAUAUUGACCAAAAAAGCAUUAAUGAUAGGGCAUUGUUUUCCGAGUUGAUAAGAGGUUUUGAGACAUAUUCAAAUCUGUUGAUAAUGAUCAUUUCCAGAUGGGUCAAUGUAUGCUGAUCACUAUGCAUAAAUUUUCAAUCAGUGAAUAUCAUGAUAGAAAUAGGCUACUUUCCUUGGGUUUGUAUUUUAAAAGCUUAUAUGUUUCUUGCCAUAGUAAGUGAUGCAUUUGUCCUCAGUCACGCCUAUUUGAUGGUACGGUGGCGGUGGGGUGGGAGGGAUGUUAAUUCAUGGAAAGUAUAUGUAAAAAUGCAACAAACUAACAUUCCCCGUUUUUGUUUUACCUCUUAAAGCAGAAGUAGAAAACGUUUUCACUGGCUUUUCUGUACAGUACUACUAUACCGGGGGUAGAGCUCAUUUACCACAAAGAGCCUUAUCAAAAAGUAUAUUUUGUAACAACCUCAUAAUACUGUACCUAACCAAACAUGCUUUGUAUUAGCUCUGUAUAAAAGUAUUUGUGGCUUAGGAUUUAUAUAUAUAUAUAUAUAUCUUUUUAUAACUUUCCAGGAACUAAGCACAUUAUCUGAUACUGUAAAUUAUUUUCUGUCAGUGCUUUAGUACAGGAUUGGCAAUAAAUUAUUUCUAAAGGAGGUCUGAAAGUGACAAGAACAGUUGGAUUUUAUAAAAUGAGUUGCUAGUUGUUAAGGCUUUUUACUUUUGUACAUAUUUUGCAGAAUUUUUGCCUCUUGCUUUUAAUAUUUGCUUUGUAAAGAUUACUGACAUUUAAUAAACAUUUAUAAACUAUUCAAUACUAUGAUGUUAUUUAAACUAUUUGCUAAAUGUAAAAUGUGAAGCUGGCAUUUAUUUAAAAUUGGAAAGCAAACGUUUCAUCUGGUGACUUUGAAGCACAGAAAUCUCUAGUGAUACUGUGCCUUAGCAUUACUCUGUAAACGUUUCCUUACUAAAGGUGGAGGUGUGGACUUCAUCCAUGGAGCUUCCCAGACUCUUACUACGUUUUGAUGUGGGAGUUCUCUGUGAUCCUGUUACAAUUGCUGAAAUUGGCAGGAUGGUGUGUCUGGGCUCCUAGUUUGUCCACCUGCAGAAGUAAUGCUAUUGUGUCUUUUGUCCUGAAAUGGUGUUUUAAAAACAAACAUGCUACCACCCAGUUUUAUAUUUCAAUACGUUUUAUUUUACAGAAAAAAAUGCAGAGAUACUAGAACUCCCCUGCUCUCCCUCCCCUUUAUAAGUUUCUCCAAGUAACACUUGGCAUUCUCAUGGCACAUUGGUCAUAAUUACUGAACCGACAUGAACACUUAAUAUUAACGAAAGCCCGUUCUUUAUUCCGAUUUCCUUAGUUUUUCCCUAUGUCCCUUUCUGUUCCAGAUUCCAUCCAGGAUAACAUGCUUCAUUUAGUUGGCAUGUCUCCAGGCUCCUCCUGACCAUUGCUGUUUUCUCAGCAUUUCCUUGUUUUGAUGGCCUGGGCAGUUCUGAGGAAGAGGCAUACUGAUCAGGUUCUUCAAGGAAUGACUACAGGAUGCUUCCGUGAUUGAUAAAUAAGAACAUGCAUUUCAAACUUAGAUUGAAACCCUGGCUUCUCUACUUAUUAAGCUGUGUGGCUUUGGGCAAAUGACUUACCCUUUCUGGGCAUUGAUUGCCUCAUCGAUGCCUAACACCUAUGGAGUAAGUUUGUUAUUAAACAUUCAGUGCAGAGCUACUACAGUGCCAGGCACGGGAUAGGA